UGCAAAUUAUACGUUUUAUAUAUAUAAUAUAUAAAAUAUGUAGUGCAAACGUGAGUAAAAAAUAUGAAUAUAAGAACUAUAAAUAAAGUUAAAUACUUUAUAAAUAUAUAUAUAUAUAUUAAUAUAUAAAUAUAUAUAAAAAGAAUAUUAUAUAAAAUAAUAUUUGUUUAUAGUCUAUCAUAUAAUGGUUUAGGUAGUAGGUAUUAUAAAGGUUAUACCUAGCCAACGAUCCAUAAUCAUUAAUUAAAGUUAUAAUGAUCACGUUGAUUUUGAAAUAUAAUCAAUAUCUAUAUGAUACAGCAGUGGGGAAUAUUGGACAAUGGUAUAAAUACUGAUCCAGUAACUUAUAAGAAUGAUAUAUAAUCAA
rnacentral:rRNA from 1 species